AGCAGCCGCGGUAAUUCCAGCUCCAAUAGCGUAUAUUAAAGUUGCUGCAGUUAAAAGCUCGUAGUUGAAUUUCGGGAUCAAUAUGUUGGUCGUGCCUCGGUACGUACUAGCUUAUUGGUUUCUCCCUUCUGACGAACCAUGAUGUCAUUUAUUUGGUGUUAUGGGAAAUCAGGACUGUUACUUUGAAAAAAUUAGAGUGUUUAAAGCAGGCUCACGCUUGAAUACAUUAGCAUGGAAUAAUGAAAUAGGACGUUUGAUUCUAUUUUGUUGGUUUCUAGGAUCGACGUAAUGAUUAAUAGGGAUAGUUGGGGGCAUUAGUAUUCAAUUGUCAGAGGUGAAAUUCUUGGAUUUAUUGAAGACUAACUACUGCGAAAGCAUUUGCCAAGGAUGUUUUCAUUAAUCAGGAACGAAAGUUAGGGGUCGAAGACGAUCAGAUACCGUCGUAGUCUUAACCAUAAACUAUGCCGACUAGGGAUCGGAUGAUGUUAAUUUUUUAAUGUACUCAUUCGGCGCCUUAACC
rnacentral:misc_RNA from 1 species